rnacentral:rRNA from 1 species
CCAUGCAGUCGACGGCAGCACGAGAGAGCUUGCUCUCUUGGUGGCGAGUGGCGGACGGGAGAGUAAUAUAUCGGAACGUGCCCAGUAGCGGGGGAUAACUACUCGAAAGAGUGGCUAAUACCGCAUACGCCCUACGGGGGAAAGGGGGGGAUUCUUCGGAACCUCUCACUAUUGGAGCGGCCGAUAUCGGAUUAGCUAGUUGGUGGGGUAAAGGCUCACCAAGGCAACGAUCCGUAGCUGGUUUGAGAGGACGACCAGCCACACUGGGACUGAGACACGGCCCAGACUCCUACGGGAGGCAGCAGUGGGGAAUUUUGGACAAUGGGGGAAACCCUGUUCCAGCCAUCCCGCGUGUAUGAUGGAGGCCUUCGGGUUGUAAAGUACUUUUGGCAGAGAAGAAAAGGUAUCCCCUAAUACGGGAUACUGCUGACGGUAUCUGCAGAAUAAGCACCGGCUAACUACGUGCCAGCAGCCGCGGUAAUACGUAGGGUGCAAGCGUUAAUCGGAAUUACUGGGCGUAAAGCGUGUGUAGGCGGUUCGGAAAGAAAGAUGUGAAAUCCCAGGGCUCAACCUUGGAACUGCAUUUUUAACUGCCGAGCUAGAGUAUGUCAGAGGGGGGUAGAAUUCCACGUGUAGCAGUGAAAUGCGUAGAUAUGUGGGAGGAAUACCGAUGGCGAAGGCA